rnacentral:rRNA from 1 species
UGCGUAGGUGGUGAGGUAAGUCGGAUGUGAAAUCUCGGAGCUCAACUCCGAAACGGCAUUGGAAACUACCUCGCUCGAGGGUUGGAGGGGGGACUGGAAUUCUCGGUGUAGCAGUGAAAUGCGUAGAUAUCGAGAGGAACACCAGUGGCGAAGGCGAGUCCCUGGACGACUCCUGACACUGAGGCACGAAAGCUAGGGGAGCAAACA